rnacentral:ncRNA from 1 species
GCGCCGCGGCACUCCAUUUUCAUGUCGCGGCGUACAGAAAAGAAGGAGGAAUUUUACCGCGGGCUUGCGGUGCGCCAGUGUGGAGACCUGGCGUAAUGCCCCGCGCCACUUUGCGGGCGGGGGCGAGGCGCGUCAUUGCGGAGGCAGGCGCGUCAAAGCCAAUGGAAAUGGCA